rnacentral:rRNA from 1 species
UACGUAGGGGGCAAGCGUUAUCCGGAUUUAUUGGGCGUAAAGGGUGCGUAGGCGGUAUGUUAAGUCUAAAAUCAAAGCCCGAGGCUUAACCUCGGUUCGUUUUAGAAACUGGCAAACUAGAGUGCAGUAGAGGCAAGUGGAAUUUCUAGUGUAGCGGUUAAAUGCGUAGAUAUUAGAAGGAACACCAGUGGCGAAGGCGGCUUGCUGGGCUGUAACUGACGCUGAGGCACGAAAGCGUGGGGAGCAAAUAGG